rnacentral:rRNA from 1 species
AGCAGCCGCGGUAAAUUCCAGCUCCAAUAGCGUAUAUUAAAGUUGUUGCAGUUAAAAAGCUCGUAGUUGAACUUCGGGGUUUACCCAUUGGUCAGGCUUAAUUGUCUGUACUGGUGAGAUAAAUCUCUACCUUCUGAGGAACUUUCAUGCCAUUUAUUUGGUGUGAUGGGAAAUCAGGACUGUUACUUUGAAAAAAUUAGAGUGUUUAAAGCAGGCUAACGUCUGAAUACAUUAGCAUGGAAUAAUGAAAUAGGACGGACUGAUUCUAUUUCGUUGGUUUCUAGGAUCACCGUAAUGAUUAAUAGGGAUAGUUGGGGGCAUUAGUAUUCAAUUGUCAGAGGUGAAAUUCUUGGAUUUAUUGAAGACUAACUACUGCGAAAGCAUUUGCCAAGGAUGUUUU